UAUAGCUAUGGCAAUACAUAUUCUAAAAUUGGAAUGAUACAGAGAAGAUUAGCAUGGCUCCUGCGCAAGAAUGACACACGAAUUUGUGAAGCAUUCCAUAUUUCU
rfam:Octopus bimaculoides Scaffold11918_contig_39, whole genome shotgun sequence.